GUUGUUCCUAUCUACUCUGUCAUGGUAUCAGAGGCUUCACGCUCUCUGCGUUAGGGCUCUGAUACCAUGAAGGAGCGGAAAGAAAUGUCUG